AGCCCAAGCUUAAAACCCAAAGGACUUGACGGUGCCCCACCCACCUAGAGGAGCCUGUUCUAUAAUCGAUUCUCCCCGAUAUACCCCACCACUUCUAGCCUAUCAGCCUGUAUACCUCCGUCGUAAGCUUACCAUAUGAACGCUUUUUAGUGAGCUAAAAGAUUAUACAUAAAUACGUCAGGUCAAGGUGCAGCCCACGAAGUGGUAAGUAAUGGGCUACAAUUUCUAAAAUAGAACAUACGAAAGACUAUAUGCAACUUAGUCAUGAAGGCGGAUUUAGUAGUAAAAAGAAAAUAGAGUGUUCUUUUUAAUUAGGCGCUGGGACGCGUACACACCGCCCGUCACCCUCUUCAAACGCUUCACCAAGUUUAUAACAAUAUAAUGCACUACAGAAGAGGUAAGUCGUAACACGGUAAGCGUACUGGAAAGUGCGCUUGGAUAAA
rnacentral:rRNA from 1 species